AUAUCAAUAAGCGGAGGAAAAGAAACCAACAGGGAUUGCCCUAGUAACGGCGAGUGAAGCGGCAACAGCUCAAAUUUGAAAUCUGGCCCUUUCAGGGUCCGAGUUGUAAUUUGUAGAGGGCGCUUUGGUGUUGGCUGCGGUCUAAGUUCCUUGGAACAGGACGUCACAGAGGGUGAGAAUCCCGUACGUGGUCGACAGUCUUCACCGUGUAAAGCCCCUUCGACGAGUCGAGUUGUUUGGGAAUGCAGCUCUAAAUGGGAGGUAAAUUUCUUCUAAAGCUAAAUAUUGGCCAGAGACCGAUAGCGCACAAGUAGAGUGAUCGAAAGAUGAAAAGCACUUUGGAAAGAGAGUCAAAAAGCACGUGAAAUUGUUGAAAGGGAAGCGCUUGCAACCAGACUUGCCUUCAGUUGCUCAUCCGGUCUUCUGACCGGUGCACUCUUCUGUAGGCAGGCCAGCAUCAGUUUGGGCGGCUAGAUAAAGACCUCUGUCACGUAUCUUCCUUCGGGAAGACCUUAUAGGGGAGGUGUAAUGUAGCCAGCCUGGAUUGAGGUCCGCGCAUCUGCUAGGAUGCUGGCGUAAUGGUUGUAAGCGGCCCGUCUUGAAACACGGACCAAGGAGUCUAACAUCUAUGCGAGUAUUUGGGUGUAAAGCCCGGAUGCGCAAUGAAAGUGAACGGAGGUGGGAACCCUUACGGGCGCACCAUCGACCGAUCCUGAUGUCUUCGGAUGGAUUUGAGUAAGAGCAUAGCUGUUGGGACCCGAAAGAUGGUGAACUAUGCCUGAAUAGGGUGAAGCCAGAGGAAACUCUGGUGGAGGCUCGCAGCGGUUCUGACGUGCAAAUCGAUCGUCAAAUUUGGGCAUAGGGGCGAAAGACUAAUCGAA
rnacentral:rRNA from 1 species